rnacentral:lncRNA from 1 species
CCUCUGCAGCGGCCGCAGCCACAGCCUCCCGACGCCGAAACCCCGCCCCACCUGCUGGAAGCCCCGCCCCAUAGGCCCGCCUCUCGAGGCCCCGCCCAGUAGGCCCGCCCCUCGCACUUAAACCCCGCCCUCACUAGAAGCCCCGCCCCGCCUCGCCGCCCGCGAGGCCUCAGUCCCCGAGCGGUAGCCGCGCUGGAUCCCGGUGGCGGUCUCCGCGCGGCCGGAAGCCCACGCGGGCGGUGGUGGGGAGGGGCCGCGCGGGCCUGGGGAGGGGCAGCCCUCGGGGAGGUGGAAGCAGGGUCGGUGCACGGCGCUCCUUUGGGAACCCAGCCUGCUGCCUGACCGGAAAAGACCCCCGAGGACCACCUCCUCCUUCCCUCUGAGAGCAGAAAGGAAAAGGCUGCAGGCCUCCUCACCCCAGGUGUUAGCAGGACACCGGAAUCGAGCAGAGACGGGAGGGAGGGCGAGCGCUGACCCACGUCCCUCCCCAGCCCCCCUCAGGGGUCGCUUCUGGAAGCCCCCUCGGCAGAGCUCUUCGUCUGCCUUCCUUUGUAGGUGGCCGGGCGCCCAGGAUCGCAAGCCAUUUAGCACCUCUGGAGGUCAAAGCACUGUCUGCGAAGAGAAAUACACACGUGGCAAAGCCUCUGCCUAUCAAUCUGGAGGGAAACGCAAACACGCUGGGACCUGCCAGCCAGCCUGAUGGGAGCAGCAGCACCUGGGUGUGUGGACGCUUUCGUGAACACAGGAGGACAUCCCGGGAGGUAUCAGGGCAAAAAAGGCUACCAAAAUAAUAGAGUCAGUUUUCCUCCUGCCUCUGCAGCCUUGGGUGAAUGUGUAUGUGAAACACAGAUCACCGCUAAUGUGUCCCCAGUUCAGAUUUCUGCAUCUGCAAGUUCAGAAUUAUGGUGAUUUUGACAAGAGAGAUAAUGACUGUGAAUCAUACCAGCUCCUGCUUUGAAAACAGUCUACAGACACUCUGAGCAGACAGGCUUCU